GGGGGUGCCCCGGUUUCGACUGUCACGGUCCGGUUCGCGGGUCGCAGGUGGAGCGCCGAUCUCCUACUCUCGGCAAACCUUUAAUUGCCAACGACAACGGCAAUUUCGCUCUCGCCGCGUAAGCGCCGAUAGCGACGGACCCCGCGGCGCCCCGCUCUGAGCGCCGCGUACGGUCUGUAACCCGACCAGGGCUUACCCCCCGCCACGCCCGCGGGACGGGGGGGACAUCAAGCGGGAUACGGAGGCGAUAGCGCGGCGGCCCGCCGCCCGCCUCCCGACAACUUGAAAGGCCGCCUAAACCUGUAGAAGCCUUCCUUCCGCGUGUCAGGACGGGGGUUCGACUCCCCCCACCUCCAAAA
rnacentral:tmRNA from 1 species